GAUGGCCUAUUGGUUAAAGCGUCCGCCUCAAAUAUGGGAGGUCGCGGGUUCGAACCCCGGACGAUUCA